CAAACCCGUGACCUGGUGACUCAGUGAGACAGUUCUCACCACUGCACCAGGCCUGCCUUCUCAAUUGAUGAUUGUUAACAAAUAAAUUAUUUAUUCGAAUAGCAGACUACUAUAUAGCCCUUGCUUAUUUAGCUUGUCUACUUUAGAUGUGUCUUAUUUUUCAUUUUGUCCUUCAUAUAAAUGCACGUCUUAUUUGUCAGAUGGUAUAUGCUUUCGCCUAGAAGCAGGCUUUUUAAAUGGACUUUUAGAGGUUGGUGCCAGUGCCACAAAAAGUUCAGGUUUUUCCAAUUGUCAACUAGGAAAUGACGUCUCUUCAGAACAAUCAACAACAAUUGAUAUUCUGGAGAAGAUGUUCCUUCCAUCAAGUGGUCCAUGGCAUGCGAAUAACGAGUUUGUUUCUGCUGCUCUCAAAAAGUUGCCAGAAAAUGAACACAGCAGACAAUUGCACAGUGCUACCAAUGAUGUGUUAUCCAAGCUUCACGUGGUGAUGCGUGCAGUAGAUAAUCUUCACUUGAAACACAUGUAGUUAGCAGGGAACUAUCAAAAACAAAGAGAUUCGAGUGCCUAGAACAGAGCUGAACAGAAACGUCUGAAAGAGGAGUUGACUAGUGUUGUUGCCAAGUUGGAAGAAAGCAAACAAAAACUGACAGUAUCCUUGGUCUUCACCUCCACCUACCGAACAUCAG